rnacentral:rRNA from 1 species
CUACGGGAGGCAGCAGUGGGGAAUAUUGGACAAUGGGCGAAAGCCUGAUCCAGCAAUGCCGCGUGUGUGAAGAAGGCCUGAGGGUUGUAAAGCACUUUCAGUAGUGAAGAAGUAUUAGAUGCUAAUAUCAUCUGGUAUUGACGUUAAUUACAGAAGAAGCACCGGCUAACUCUGUGCCAGCAGCCGCGGUAACACAGAGGGUGCUAGCGUUAUCGGAUUUACUGGGCGUAAAGCGUGCGUAGGUGGUUAAAUAAGUCAGGUGUGAAAGCCCGAGCUCAACUUGGGAAUGGCGCUUGAUACUAUUUAUCUAGAGUAGUGUAGAGGAAAGUGGAAUUUCCGGUGUAGCGGUGAAAUGCGUAGAUAUCGGGAAGAACACCAGUGGCGAAGGCGACUUUCUGGACAAAUACUGACACUGAGGUACGAAAGCGUGGGGAGCGAACAGGAUUAGAUACCCUUGUAGUC